UACGGAGGGAGCUAGCGUUGUUCGGAAUUACUGGGCGUAAAGGGCGCGUAGGCGGCCUGAUAAGUAGGGGGUGAAAUCCUGCGGCUUAACCGCAGGGCUGCCUUCUAAACUGUCAGGCUCGAGCACAGUAGAGGCAGGUGGAAUUCCCGGUGUAGCGGUGGAAUGCGUAGAGAUCGGGAAGAACAUCAGUGGCGAAGGCGGCCUGCUGGGCUGGUUGCUGACGCUGAGGCGCGACAGCGUGGGGAGCAAAGAGG
rnacentral:rRNA from 1 species